GAGCAAGGGCGCCGGUAUUAAUUUAUCAAUGACGAAUCUCUUGCCUUGAAGGUUGGCCACAUCCAAUAGCGAUUCUCCGUGCCUAUCAAAUUUUCUGUUUUGACUACGGCCUCGAACAAAUCGUCACAUC
rnacentral:snoRNA from 1 species